rnacentral:tRNA from 1 species
GAGGGCGGCUAGUCGAGCAAUCAAACUGCUAAUUUGUAUCCACCAUGGUUCAAAUCCGUGGCGCCCCCA